rnacentral:misc_RNA from 1 species
ACUGAGUAAAGGAACUAAAACUAAAAACUUGCUUGGCAAAAUUGCCUUCUAAACCAGUGUUAGUGUUGGGAUUUUCAUUGUUUGAAUUGUGUUGGGUUAAUAAGAAGAUCAAGUCCUUGUUCCAUAAAAUGGAAGAAGAAACGGAGGAAGUGUGCUUAUGGGGGCGGCAAUGGUAAAGGCGAGAGAGAAAACGAUAUGACGUUUGCAUUAAAAACAAGGAAACAUAAAGGUUAAUAGGAUUUUCAAUGGCUGUAUGUUGCUCUUCAAAUUUCAAAAUUCCUUGGACAAAGAAACAAUUUCAUUCAAUGGGUAUAGAAAUUUCAGGGUUUUUGGGAGAGAGAACGAGAGAUGCUAAACUAAUAAAUGAUUUGUCAUGGGUAGGAGGCAGAACCUGGUAACACUCUCUCUCUCUCUCUCAAGCCCACCCAGCGUUUG